GUCCACGCCGUAAACGAUGAUAACUAGCUGUCCGGGCUCAUAGAGCUUGGGUGGCGCAGCUAACGCAUUAAGUUAUCCGCCUGGGGAGUACGGUCGCAAGAUUAAAACUCAAAGGAAUUGACGGGGGCCUGCACAAGCGGUGGAGCAUGUGGUUUAAUUCGAAGCAACGCGCAGAACCUUACCAGCCUUUGACAUCCUAGGACGGCUUCUGGAGACAGAUUUCUUCCCUUCGGGGACCUAGUGACAGGUGCUGCAUGGCUGUCGU
rnacentral:rRNA from 1 species